rnacentral:rRNA from 1 species
GACAGAGGUUGCAAGCGUUGUUCGGAAUUACUGGGCAUAAAGCGCACGUAGGCGGUCCGCUAAGUCAUGUGUGAAAUCCCCCGGCUCAACCGGGGAAUGGCGCCUGAUACUGGCGGACUCGAGAUCGGUAGGGGUGAGUGGAACUCCAGGUGGAGCGGUGAAAUGCGUAGAUAUCUGGAGGAACACCGGUGGCGAAAGCGACUCACUGGACCGACACUGACGCUGAGGUGCGAAAGCUAGGGGAGCGAAUGGG